UCGGGAAUUUUGGGCAGUGGGGGAAACCCUGACCCAGCAACGCCGCGUGAAGGAUGAAGUAUUUCGGUAUGUAAACUUCGAAAGAAUAGGAAGAAUAAAUGACGGUACUAUUUAUAAGGUCCGGCUAACUACGUGCCAGCAGCCGCGGUAAUACGUAGGGACCAAGCGUUGUUCGGAUUUACUGGGCGUAAAGGGCGCGUAGGCGGCAUGACAAGUCACUUGUGAAAUCUCUGGGCUUAACCCAGAACGGCCAAGUGAUACUGUCGCGCUAGAGUGCAGAAGGGGCAAUCGGAAUUCUUGGUGUAGCGGUGAAAUGCGUAGAUAUCAAGAGGAACACCUGAGGUGAAGACGGGUUGCUGGGCUGACACUGACGCUGAGGCGCGAAAGCCAGGGGAGCAAACGGGAUUAGAUACCCCCGUAGUCCCUGAGCGGGCUGGCAAGGCGCAU
rnacentral:rRNA from 1 species